CCCUCUAGUUUACAUUGACGUCACAGGAAGGCGGCUCUCUGCGCGCACAGGUGUUCACCACAGGUGGAGGGUGAGGAAAUGUGCGUCCUGUAAAACGAGUUCAGCUCUUCCCUGCCGUUAUUUGAGCUCAAUCACUCAUACAGCUUAGGUAUGGCUCACAACUGCGUGGGGAACUGUGCGCCGUUAUUUUUCCUAGCCAUCGCUUUUGACGUCUGCGGUUUGAUAGUUAUUUUUGUUGGUAUUUUCGCCGAUCUAAAGUUGGACGGUCACUUCUACGGUGAUUUCCUAAUCUACACGGGUGCACUCAUCAUUUUCCUCAGUCUGGCUUGGUGGAUUUUGUGGUACACGGGCAACAUAAUGGUUUACUCCGAGGACUUUGAUAAAAGCACCCUGGACAAUUUUGCGCACUGGGCAAGAAAGUUGUCGGAAAGGCUCUCGAAGAGCAAUAUUAAAACUCUGGAAGCUGGGGAGAAGUGCAACUGGAAUGGAAAGGAAUCAGUGAACGGAACGGUUCCUGAUCAAACUCUAUCACGAAUUACGUGUGAACACAGCAGCAGCCUGACGGGACACGACAAUCUAGGAUAUGACCGAAGUUUUGACCACCAGCCUACAGAGAAAACGGUGGAGUUGGGGAUUCUGAAUGAUUCUGAGGUGUUGCAGAGCAUUAUGGAUAGAAAAGUGGUUAGGCUUCUCUGACACACAGUUGGUGAUCUCUGGUUCUCCGGUUUUGAAGAACGUAUGCCUCACUCCUCCCCAAGAGCUGCUUUUUAAAUCCAUACAGACUGUAAACCUUUUCGCCUAUAUGAACUAAAGACACUUUAAAUAUAGAAGACUACUUUCAUUCAGGGAGAGGCCCCGCGCUGAAGCAAUCUCCGGGCCCUGCACAAAGGAUAGAAAUGUCUGUGAAUUUUACUUGUAAAUGGAUAAAUAACUAGAUGAUUUUUAUGUCCUGAAUUUUACAUGGUCUGUUUUGAAGAUGUUUUUUUUAGAAAAUAAUAACGCCAUUUCUCUGGGUUCUUUAAUCAGACUUCUGUGACUAGAUAGCUCACACAACAACAAAGAUAUUGGAUUCCACUUCUGCUAGAAGUAGGUGUUAUUCAGACAAAUUGAGGUUCCAGAAAGAGAUAAUUAAUUAGAUAAUUAUAAUAUUCAAAAUCCAUUUGAGGGACAUCAACAAAUCAAAACCACUUCCAAAGCUCAGAUCCUUUAUUUGUGUUUAUCUUUAUUUGCUACAUGCCUAUCUGACUGGUCUGUUUGGGGUGUGUUGAUUGCACUACGCUGUCUGUCUGCCACUGGUUAUACUGAUGACAUAUUCCCUACACACACACACACACACACACUGAGACGGUAUAGAAUGUAUCAUGUAGAACAGAUAAGAUUGUCUGUACUAUUCAUUAUAUUUCUAUACGCAACAUCCUGAACCUAGCUGAAUACACACCGGCACAAGGACUAUCUCCAUUCCAGAAACUGCCUUGUCACCUGUAGAAAAUAAAUAAAUACAUCUUUACAAACA